rnacentral:rRNA from 1 species
UAACACGUAGGGUCCGAGCGUUGUCCGGAAUUACUGGGCGUAAAGCGCGCGCAGGCGGUUGGGUCAGUCGCUGGUGAAAGCCCCACGCUCAACGUGGGAAUGGCCAGCGAGACGGCCCGACUGGAGGCAGGGAGAGGUCGGUGGAAUUCCGGGUGUAGUGGUGAAAUGCGUAGAGAUCCGGAGGAACACCAGAGGCGAAGGCGGCCGACUGGACCUGACCUGACGCUGAGGCGCGAAGGCGUGGGGAGCGAACGGGAUUAGAUACCCCGGUAGUCCACGCGGUAAACGAUGUGUACUGGGUAUGGCGGGAGUUGACCCCUGCCGUGCCGGCGCUAACGCAGUAAGUACACCGCCUGGGGAGUACGGCCGCAAGGCUAAAACUCAAAGGAAUUGACGG